rnacentral:tRNA from 1 species
GCUUGUUAAAUAGUAUAAAUAAUACUUUAAGUUUUGAUCUUAAAAACACAAUUCAAUUGUUUUAA